AUUGAACGCUGGCGGCAGGCCUAACACAUGCAAGUCGAGCGGAGAGGCGGACGGGGGAGUAAUGCCUAGGAAUCUGCAUGGUAGUGGGGGAUAACGUCCGGAAACGGGCGCUAAUACCGCAUACUAUCAGAUGAGCCUAGGGAGGAUUAGCUAGUUGGAGGGGUAAAGGCCUACCAAGGCGACGAUCCGUAACUGGUCUGAGAGGAUGAUCAGUCACACUGGAACGGAGACACGGUCCAGACUCCUACGGGAGGCAGCAGUGGGGAAUAUUGGACAAGUGGCGAAAGCCUGAUCCAGCCAUGCCGCGUGUGUUAAGAAGGUCUUCGGAUUGUAAAGCACUUUAAGUUGGGAGGCGUUACCAACAGAAUAAGCACCGGCUAACUUCGUGCCAGCAGCCGCGGUAAUAC
rnacentral:rRNA from 1 species